CAAACCAAAAGACUGGCGACCGGCGGCACGGGUGAGUAACACGUAUCCAACCUGCCUCAUACUCGGGGAUAGCCUUUCGAAAGAAAGAUUAAUAUCCGAUAGCAUAUAUUUCCCGCAUGGGUUUUAUAUUAAAGAAAUUCGGUAUGAGAUGGGGAUGCGUUCCAUUAGUUUGUUGGGGGGGUAACGGCCCACCAAGACUACGAUGGAUAGGGGUUCUGAGAGGAAGGUCCCCCACAUUGGAACUGAGACACGGUCCAA
rnacentral:rRNA from 1 species